GGAAACAACUGGAUUCUAGUGUAGAGCAUUCCAGUUUUUACAAAACUAUUGGAAGAAGGAGGGAAGCCACAAAUCUGAUUUAGUGAAGAUGUUGUCCCUGACAGCAAGAUUUACUCCUGGGUUAUAAAUUUUUCUGUGAUCGAGACUAAACUGCAGUGAAAGUUAAAUUUCACCUAUAUCUCAUUCAACGCCUAACGUGAUUUAAAUGACAAGUUUUCAGAAGUGACAUGGAGCCUUGGAUCUAAAUAUAUUUUUUAUGGUUGGAAAUUUUAAUUUCAGAUCAGUGAAAAAUCAUGACGCCUCCUCAUGUGUAAGAGACUUAGUAGAGUUUUCAGCUGGUACAGAUGGUUUUGUCAGGCAAAACUAUUAAUGUUAAGAGGAGUCGGAUGGCAAAAUUUGCACAGGCUUUGUCUAUGAAAUUGCUCCCUCACAACAUUAUUGAAAUGGUUGAAUGACUGGCCUACUUCUGAGAUCGAGGCGUGAUGAGUUCAUCUUGUUUAAUCUCACAAAGGUUGUUCAGUUUGCCUGUGACAUGCCUGUGAGGAUGCACCAUGAGGCGAUGGUUUGUGAGUCCUGGCAGCUUCCUGCUCUCUCAGUCAGCUGCAUCUGGAAAUAUUCGUCCCCAUGUCCUGUCUGCAGUGAUCUUGCUUCAGAAGGCUUUGACCUCUUUUUACCUUUGCACUGCACUCACAGCUUCAAGUGUGUACAUACAGAAGAAAUACAUGACUUACUUACUGUUUCUUUUUUUUUUCGUGUAUGUGUGUGUGUGUGUCUGUCUGUAUGUCUUGCCUGUCUAUCUGUAUGACUUUAACCAAAGUUCUACAGGGCAUCAGAUCUUUGAAAUUGUAGUUGCAGGGAUGAUUGUAGUUCACUUGAUAUGGGUGAUGGGAUUUGAACUCAUGUCCUCUGCAAGAACAGCCUGUGCUUUAUCUCCUGAGGCAUCUCUCUAGUCCCUUAGCAACUUUGCUGGAGUGUCCAGAAACCCUAAUUAGGGUAUGAUUUUCAUAAGGAUGUGAUGAGAUGAGUUAGUGUUCUAUUCAGAGACCACCAAAUGUGUGAGCCACCAAUCAUUACUGCUCUUUUUUUAAAAUUAAUUAUUAGUGUGUGCAUGAGUGUGUGUGUAUGUAUUAUGACGUGGGUUGCACACAUGUAAAUCAUUGGUGUGUGGGGGUCAGAGAGAACAUUGUGAAGCCAGUGCUCUCCUUCCUCCAUUCCUCAGAUUCCCGGGCUUCGUCCCAUGAGGUGGGCCUCUGUGACAAGUGCCUUUGCUGGCUGAGGCAUCUUGCAGUUCCCAAAACCUUUCUUAUUUUUUCAAAAGAAAAAAACUCUCAGAAAUAAAAUCCUUCUUCUAUUUUUUUAUUUUCUAUGUGUUUGGGUGCUUGGCCUGCUUGUUUGUCCGUGCAGGACAUACACCCUGGGCCUGUGAAGGCCAGAAGAGGGUUUCCGGUGGAAUUAUAGUUAAAGAGGUUGUGAGCCACCAUGUGGGUGCUGGGAAUCAAGCCCAAGGCCUCUAGAGAGCAUUCAGUGCUCACAAUCACCGAGAUGUGUUUCCAGCCUAAUUUGAAUGUUCCUGUGAGAUUUACACAGGAAACCUGAGCUAACAGUUUUCUCUAAGCAUGUCAUAUAGGCAGCUGAGGCACAAGGUGAUUUAAAAAAAAUUAAUAUAUGGUAAUGUAAUCCAGCCGCUCUGGAUUGUGUUUUUAUUGUUUUGUUUUAUUUUCCUGCCUCUGCCUUCCCAGUGCUGGGAUUAAAGGUGUACAUCUCCAUGCUGCGCCCUGGGAGGGUAUUUAAGGAGAGCAGUGUCACCCUGUGUUGAUUGUGCUGUUAGCCUGACUUUCAGACCUGAUUCUUUUGUGAUCUUCUCACUUGUCAGUUGCCCUUCCUUCAAGGUGUAUGUCCAUUGAGAUUCUCAGCAGCUGCUCUGCAGGAUGACAAGAACAGAAGAGUGAUGAGACAGACAGUGAGAAAGGAACGCAGUAGUCUGUCAGCAUGCGCAUGAGCACCCUCU
rnacentral:lncRNA from 1 species